GCAUUAUGAGAUUCUAAUUGGUUGGAACAUCUGUUGAAAUUGUGUUUCUGUAGAGAAAGAAAAAACACUACUAUAUCUGGAGAGCUCUGGCCAGCUUUCAAGGUUCCUAAACCUGAGUCUCCAGUGAACUGGACAGAAAAAAAAAAUGAAGAAGCUACUAGCAGUGAUUCUGUGUUUUCAACUAGACUGGUCAAGUGCAGAGGUGAAGGUGGAGCAAAGCCCUCUGUCCCUGAGCACCCAGGAGGGAGAAGACUGUACUAUCUCCUGCAAUUAUUCAAGCUCUGGUUCAGACAGACUGUACUGGUACAGACAGGGUCUGGGGAAAAGCCUGGAAGCUCUGUUUGUAUUGCUGUCAAAUGGAGCAGUGAAGCAGGAGGGACGAUUAACAGCCUCACUUGAUACCAAAGCCCGUCUCAGUACCCUGCACAUUGCAGCCCUGCAGCACGGCCACGCUGCCACCUACUUCUGUGCCGUGGACACACAGUGCUCGCUAGACGCCAGCAGCCUAUACCCAAACCUGCAGUAG